AAUCAUGUAAUUAUAUCGAAGUUUUGUUUUAAGAAAGGUCUUUGUUCUCUCUCAUCCUUCUACGCGUAUCAUCAUCUCUCAGACUCUUCCAAAAUCAAACGAACCCUAACGAACCCUCUUCACUGAAAUCUCCCAUCCUUCACUGAAAUCAAAAUCAAAAUCUUCGUUCUCUCCCAUCCUUCAUUGAAAUCUCACACUCUUGAAAUUUCCAGUUCAUUCUGAAAUCAAACGAACCCUAAUCUCUUCACUCUCGAUCUUCUUCUUCCUUGUCGCUGCUUCAUUCACUCUCGAUCUUCUUCUUUGUCGUUGCUUCGUCUUCGGUACUGGCGCCGGCACCGGUGCGAUUAGGUUCAGGAGCCAUUGAUCUUCGUUCAAUUUUUGAACACCAAUCUUCGUUUUCGCUCUCAGUUUCUCAUAUUGAAUCUGGGCAAGAGCAAGAUACCUAUGUAGCCGACCUAAUCUGGGUAAGCUUUAGUGUGUUCUUCCAACUGUUUGAUUAUAUUCCCCAACCAAGUUCAUCAUGUCUAGUUUUGUGGGUUCAUUGUUUCUGAUCAAGAACUUCAGAGCCAGUUCACCCAAGUCGAAUUAAGAACACUCAAAUCAAAAUAUGUAUCUGCAAGGACUCAAGGGGGUCGUGUUACUGUCGGAGAUUUGCCUCCCAUUUUCAAGAAAUUGAAGAUUUUCGCUGAGCUUUUUACCGAGGAUGAGAUUAAGGCGGCAUUGUCAGAGUCCUAUGGGAACAUGGAUGAUGAAAUUGACUUUGAAUCCUUCCUCAGGGCACAUGUAAACUUGCAAACACGAGCUAUGGCAAAAGAUGGUGGUUCAAAAAGUUCUUCAUUUUUGAAGACAGCUACAACGACUGUUCAUCAUGCAAUUAAUGAAUCUGAGAAGGCUUCUUAUGUUGCACAUAUUAACAGUUACUUGGCUGAAGAUAAAUUCUUGAAGCAGUUUCUUCCCCUUGAUCCAGCUACAAAUGCAUUGUUUGAUCUUGCUAAAGAUGGAGUCCUGCUUUGCAAGCUUAUUAAUGUCGCCGUUCCUGGGACCAUAGAUGAACGAUAUGCCAUUGCAUUCUGACUUCUUCUGGAAAUGGUUGGAAAAUGUGGUAUGUGCAUCAGCUAUAUCAGGAAUUUCAUUUUUAGUCAUUCUUUUUCCUAUAUUAUAUGGAUUUAUUGUGAUUUUGUUUUGAUAGUUCCACCCACCUCAAUACCCCACCACACUUAACAAUCCAUCCAACCUUGUACUAACUAGUCAUCAUUUUAAAUACAUCACUCUUUCUCUCUAUAGUGUACCACUUUCCACUUCUCUUCACUCUCCAUUUCUAAAACCAUGGCAAUAAUCACUAUGCUAUUUCUUCAUCUAAGUUUUUUCAUCUUGAAAGUGUUUUCUUUCUCUUCUCAUUCUCAUGCAGAUAGAAUUGUUACCCUUCCUGGACAACCAAACAUAAACAUAGCCUUUCAACAAUUCUCAGGAUAUGUCACAGUUGAUAACAAAAAACACAAAUCACUCUUUUACUAUUUUGCUGAAUCAGAAACUGAUCCAUCUUCAAAACCUCUUGUUCUUUGGCUCAAUGGAGGACCUGGUUGUUCUUCUCUAGGAGUAGGUGCAUUCUCAGAAAAUGGACCCUUUAGACCAAAUGGUGAAUUUCUUAUUAAAAAUGAGCAUAGUUGGAAUAAAGAGGUAAAUAUGCUUUAUUUGGAGACACCAAUUGGAGUUGGAUUUUCCUAUGCCAAAGGUAGUUCUGCUUAUAAAACAACAGUGAAUGACGAGGAAACAGGAAUAUUGUGGUUUUGAUGAUUGACAAAAGAAGUCUAAGAAUGACAAUGAUGCAAAAAGCGGAAAAGAGGAUCAAGCUUUCAUGACUUGGAUUAUAGUAUUAUUGGAUUGUAAUCCAUCUAUUUUUAGGAUCCUUAUGUGAGUAGUAAAAAUAGCUCUCAUUAAAAUAUAUCACACACUCACAAUGAUUUUUAUUUAAAUGUAUUUUUGCAUAAAAAUACUUUUGCAUAAAUCAUUUUAGAAAAUGCAUAAUUAUCUUUUAUCAUAAAAAUAUGUUUACCAUGCAUUGCAAAUCGCCAAUAUUAUUCAAUUCCUUACCAAAUUUGUAAGGAGAAGUGUCAAUUUUGAUUUGCUAAUAAUUAUGCAACGUCUCAAUUUUAACGUGUUCUUCAAAUAUCAUCAAUAAUUGAUUAUACAAAUAUGAUAAUCAAUUAUGAUAGUCAUUUGUUGAAUAUGUCCGUUGGCACUAAACAAACCGUAUCAUUUGCAUUAAUUUUCACAACGGCUAUUUUCUUUAAACACCUCGUUCAUCUCUGUUUUAUAAAUAUAUAGGUGUCUUAUAAUAGCUCCUCGAAGGACUGAAUUUUGCAUAACAUUAUAUCAAAAAUAAUACUCAUCACUCUCAUUAUUUUUACACUUGCUAAUAUAUUAUCUCGAGAGCUUUU